CUCCAAAUGAAAAGCCCAGGCUCGAGAAAAAAGAUGCCCGGUUUGUGAAUAUGUCCUCCUACCAAGACAGAAAACUGCAUCACACUGAACCACGGUCUAAGCUGGUACCACACCGAAACACCUAGCAGUCCUGCCAAAGUAAAGUUUGAGGGCUGUGCGUAGUUACGAUGUAGACUGUGUGCUCAUCGGCUUGGCGGUGGCAGACAUCGCAGAAGUCAGGGGACAGCCGACGGACGGAGCCAAGACUCUGUGACAGAUCGCCACAGCUGACAGCCUUUAACGUCCCAUCUAAUUUAUGUCGUGUAGGGAAUGGGAAUGAAAUGUUAAUAAAGAAUCUCUGCAUCACAUAUUCUUAACUGCAGCCUCAGGCCUCACUCUGCAUCUGUCAUGGAGAUGAAUACAGAGAAAGGGAAGGAGGAGGGAGUACAGGGUGGCACAGAGGGAUGGCGAGUUAUCUUUAUACAUGUAGCUGAAGCCAAAGUCAUUUUAGACUUAAAAUGAGCAGGCUUAACAAGCUCAGCAAAAUGAGUACCGUGUUUACAAAAUAAGCCACUAUAGUUGCUAUUAGUUCCGAAUCGUAGAUUAUAUCCUGAUUGAGUGUUCAGGCAGUUUGAAUUGACUGAGUGAGUGGCUAGCAUUUAUCUCAUGUCUCAAGGCUGUCAUUAAAUAGAUUCUCUUGUCUGAUUAGUUAAACAUGAUAUUGAGCUGUUUGGAUUUCCUCCAGCCAGGAUGACAAAUGAGCCGGGUCAUCUUACACAGCCAGGCCUGAAGAGGGCAAUGUGUGCUUGUGUCAAGAUUAGACAUGUUUCUCACACCUUUCAAUAAAUGACUGCAA